rnacentral:rRNA from 1 species
UACGUAGGGUGCAAGCGUUAAUCGGAAUUACUGGGCGUAAAGGGCGCGUAGGCGGCCAUCUAAGUCAGACGUGAAAUCCCCCGGCUUAACCUGGGAACUGCGUCUGAUACUGGACGGCUUGAGUAUGGGAGAGGGAUGUAGAAUUCCAGGUGUAGCGGUGAAAUGCGUAGAUAUCUGGAGGAAUACCGGUGGCGAAGGCGGCAUCCUGGACCAUUACUGACGCUGAUGCGCGAAAGCUAGGGGAGCAAACGGG